UGGGGAAUCUUGCACAAUGGGGGAAACCCUGAUGCAGCGACGCCGCGUGAGCGAUGAAGCCCUUCGGGGUGUAAAGCUCUUUCGGCAGGGAAGAUGAUGACGGUACCUGCAGAAGCAGCUGCGGCUAACUACGUGCCAGCAGCCGCGGUAAUACGUAGGCAGCGAGCGUUGUUCGGAGUUACUGGGCGUAAAGGGUGUGUAGGCGGUUGUUUAAGUUUGGUGUGAAAUCUCCCGGCUCAACCGGGAGGGUGCGCCGAAUACUGAAUGACUUGGAGUGCGGGAGAGGAGAGUGGAAUUCCUGGUGUAGCGGUGAAAUGCGUAGAUAUCAGGAGGAACACCGGUGGUGUAGACGGCUCUCUGGACCGUAACUGACGCUGAGACACGAAAGCGUGGGUAGCAAACAGG
rnacentral:rRNA from 1 species